UUUUUUAUUGGAAAGGUUAUAGUCCGAAGUUGGUCCCAUAUAAAUUUGGAAAAAAAUCCAACCUUAAGGGUAGGAAAAUAGGGGAUGAUUGAUUUUUUCACUCACCGAUUGUAACUUAAUAGCUAAAGCAAGGUAGGUAGCUAUUUUAAAAGUAAUCAAAAAUUAAGCAUGUAAUAAAUUGUAUAAAUUAUAGCCACAGAAAAUUAUAAAAUAAAAA